rnacentral:rRNA from 1 species
GCGAGAGUCAGGACGAGGCGGGCGGUAAGACGUGGGGUGCGAGCGUGAAGCUGAAGUAACGGGCGUAGAUUGCGCGCAGGCGGCCGCGCAAGGCGGGUGUGAAAGCCCCGGGCGUAACUUGGGAAGUGCGCUCGAAACUACGUGGCUGGAGUGUGGCAGAGGAAGGUGGAAUUCCACGUGUAGCGGUGAAAUGCGUAGAGAUGUGGAGGAACACCAAUGGCGAAGGCAGCCUUCUGGGCCAACACUGACGCUCAUGCACGAAAGCGUGGGGAGCAAACAGGAUUAGAUACCCGGGUAGUC